rfam:Camelus ferus unplaced genomic scaffold scaffold557, whole genome shotgun sequence.
GAGGGUAUAGUUUAGUGGUAGAGUGUGUACUUCUCAUUCACAGGGCCUUGGGUUCAAUCCCCAGUACUUCCA